GUAGGUAUCUACCCUUUGGCCUGGAAUAACACGAGGAAACUUGUGCUAAUACCGGAUAAGUCUUUACGGAGAAAGCUUUAUGCACCAUUGGAUGAGCCUGCACUUGAUUAGUUUGUUGGUGGGGUAAUGGCCUACCAAGACUGUGAUCAAUAGCUGAUUUGAGAGGAUGAUCAGCCACAUUGGGACUGAGACACGGCCCAAACUCCUACGGGAGGCAGCAGUGGGGAAUCUUGCACAAUGGAGGAAACUCUGAUGCAGCGAUGCCGCGUGAGUGAAGAAGGCCCUUGGGUUGUAAAGCUCUUUCGUCGGGGAAGAAAAUGAC
rnacentral:rRNA from 1 species